rnacentral:lncRNA from 1 species
CAACACAGUAACCCCCAUGUCCACACCGACAGCUGCAUUAAACUCUUUGACAAAGCAGUUAGUUACUUUGAUCAGAAUAAUCCAUUUGCCCUAUCUCAGGGACCUUUCACCUGAAGCUUUUUCUGAACAGGGGAGAGGGGCGGGUAGACCCAUUUGUUUGGAUGAGAGCUGUCCAUUUCUCCUAUCCCAGGCAAGCUUGCCCUGUCUCCUUCCUGUCAGCCUUUGUUAGCCUUGACCCUUUAAUCAUUUGGGAUGCUCCUAGAGACAUUAGGAUUUUAGUCUGUCCUUGAGAAAACACUGGACCCUUCCUGCUUCCCAUUUUCAUGAUGAAGGAGAAACUCUUCUACAGGAGCCAAUUUGAUGAGACGAAUUCCAGAAUUCGAGCAGUUAAAUGAGAAAUCACAUUUGCCACCUGGUCUGGAGUGGUGACAGUAUCAGCUGUAACCAUCCUGCAAUGGAAAUACCAUUCACCAGCCAUGACCAUGUGCUGGUUUUGAUCUCACCGUGGCCCUGGUAGAGCCAGCAGCUCCAGUGAAG